rfam:Heligmosomoides polygyrus genome assembly, scaffold: HPBE_scaffold0006994
GCGCCGGUGGUGUACGGCGAACAUCGCUGCCCGGAAAACAGAAGACGCGGGUUCGAGUCCCGCCUGGCGCA